GGGGUUGUAGGACUCCAAUAUGGUAGUCUGUUAGUAUAGUUGAAGGAUUUGGAAAAUUCCGCUAAAGAGGGUGAAAGCCCCGUAGACGAAAUGCUGACAACACCUAGGAGGAUCCUGAGUACGGCGGAACACGAGAAAUUCCGUCGGAAUCCGCGGGGACCAUCCCGCAAGGCUAAAUACUCCCUAGUGACCGAUAGUGAACCAGUACCGUGAGGGAAAGGUGAAAAGCACCCCGGAAGGGGAGUGAAAUAGAUCCUGAAACCGUGUGCCUACAACAAGUCAAAGCUCGUUAAUGAGUGAUGGCGUGCCUUUUGUAGAAUGAACCGGCGAGUUACGAUUGCAUGCGAGGUUAAGUCGAAGAGACGGAGCCGCAGCGAAAGCGAGUCUGAAUAGGGCGAAUGAGUAUGUAGUCGUAGACCCGAAACCAUGUGAUCUACCCAUGUCCAGGUUGAAGGUGCGGUAAAACGCACUGGAGGACCGAACCCACGUACGUUGAAAAGUGCGGGGAUGAGGUGUGGGUAGCGGAGAAAUUCCAAACGAACUUGGAGAUAGCUGGUUCUCUCCGAAAUAGCUUUAGGGCUAGCCUCGGAAUUGAGAAUGAUGGAGGUAGAGCACUGUUUGGACUAGGGGCCCAUCUCGGGUUACCGAAUUCAGAUAAACUCCGAAUGCCAUUCAUUUAUAUCCGGGAGUCAGACUGCGAGUGAUAAGAUCCGUAGUCGAAAGGGAAACAGCCCAGACCACCAGCUAAGGUCCCAAAAUAUAUGUUAAGUGGAAAAGGAUGUGGGGUUGCACAGACAACUAGGAUGUUGGCUUAGAAGCAGCCACCAUUUAAAGAGUGCGUAAUAGCUCACUAGUCGAGUGACCCUGCGCCGAAAAUGUACCGGGGCUAAACAUAUUACCGAAGCUGUGGACUACACCAUUAGGUGUAGUGGUAGGAGAGCGUUCUAAGGGCGUUGAAGGUCGAUCGUGAGGACGGCUGGAGCGCUUAGAAGUGAGAAUGCCGGUAUGAGUAGCGAAAGACAGGUGAGAAUCCUGUCCACCGUAUGACUAAGGUUUCCUGGGGAAGGCUCGUCCGCCCAGGGUUAGUCGGGACCUAAGCCGAGGCCGAUAGGCGUAGGCGAUGGACAACAGGUUGAUAUUCCUGUACCAGUUGUUUUUGUUUGAACAAUGGAGGGACGCAGUAGGCUAAGGAAUGCAUGCGAUUGGAAGUGCAUGUCCAAGCAAUGAGUCUUGAGUAGAGUUAAAUGCUUUACUCUUUAAGGACAAGUUGUGACGGGGAGCGAAAUAAUAGUAGCGAAGUUCCUGAUGUCACACUGCCAAGAAAAGCUUCUAGUGAGAAAAUAACUGCCCGUACCGUAAACCGACACAGGUAGUCGAGGAGAGUAUCCUAAGGUGAGCGAGCGAACUCUCGUUAAGGAACUCGGCAAAAUGACCCCGUAACUUCGGGAGAAGGGGUGCUGACUUCGGUCAGCCGCAGUGAAUAGGCCCAAGCGACUGUUUAUCAAAAACACAGGUCUCUGCAAAAUCGUAAGAUGAAGUAUAGGGGCUGACGCCUGCCCGGUGCUGGAAGGUUAAGAGGAUGGGUUAGCUUCGGCGAAGCUCAGAAUUGAAGCCCCAGUAAACGGCGGCCGUAACUAUAACGGUCCUAAGGUAGCGAAAUUCCUUGUCGGGUAAGUUCCGACCCGCACGAAAGGCGUAACGAUUUGGGCACUGUCUCAACGAGAGACUCGGUGAAAUUUUAGUACCUGUGAAGAUGCAGGUUACCCGCGACAGGACGGAAAGACCCCAUGGAGCUUUACUGUAGUUUGAUAUUGAGUGUUUGUACCACAUGUACAGGAUAGGUAGGAGCCGAUGAGACCGGAACGCUAGUUUCGGAGGAGGCGCUGGUGGGAUACUACCCUUGUGUUAUGAACCCUCUAACCCGCACCACUAAUCGUGGUGGGAGACAGUGUCAGAUGGGCAGUUUGACUGGGGCGGUCGCCUCCUAAAAGGUAACGGAGGCGCCCAAAGGUUCCCUCAGAAUGGUUGGAAAUCAUUCGAAGAGUGUAAAGGCAGAAGGGAGCUUGACUGCGAGACCUACAAGUCGAGCAGGGACGAAAGUCGGGCU
rnacentral:rRNA from 1 species